UUUUUUUUCUUUUUUUUUUUUGGUCUUAUUUUAACGUAAGUACUGAUUGCUGAAAUCUCAGUACAGCUUUCCUGUAGUCCAUAGGUUUGCUGUGUUUUUAUUUCCCCCCUUUUAAAGAAAAUUUUUCCUCUUUUGAUCCAUUUGAUUGUUUAGAACUAAGCUGUUUAAUUUUGUAUAGUUAUUUAGUCUCUAGUUGUUUCUUGCUACUAGUUUCUAGUUUUAUUGUAUUGUGACUGAAAAAGAUAAGAUUUUGUAAAAAAAAAAAAAAAAAGAAGAUUUUGUCGGGGCUGGUGAGAUGGCUCAGUGGGUUAGAGCACCCGACUGCUCUUCCGAAGGUCCUGAGUUCAAAUCCCAGCAACCACAUGGUGGCUCACAACCAUCCGUAACGAGAUCUGACUCCCUCUUCUGGAGUGUCUGAAGACAGCUACAAUGUACUUACAUAUAAUAAAUAAAUAAAUCUUUUUUAAAAAAAAAAGAUUUUGUUUUUUUUUUUUUUUUUUAAUUGAGGGGCUAGGGGUAGAGCUUAUUUGAGAGAUAGUGCUUGUUGCCUUGUUGCAACAUGGCACCCGCCCCCCCCCCCCCAAGAUCCAAUUGCAUGUUCUUCUAAUCCCAGUACCAGGGUGGUGACAGAAGCUUUAGAUGGUCGUCCUCAGAUUAAUAACAACUUUGAGGACAGCCCAGAAUAAUAAGUGAGACCUUUAUCAAACUAAGAAAAGGGGGAAGAUACAUUAUUGAGAAUUGGUUUGUGGCCUACUAGGUAGUUCAGCCAUACCCUGGAGAAUAUUCCACAUGCUGUUGUGUAGAAGGUUCUGAGGUUCUGUAGUUGUCUGCUAGGCUAGUUUGGUCUAGGGUACCUUUUGACUUCUGAUUUUGUAUUGAGUUUUUCUUGGCUAUCCUGUCAACUACACAAAGUGGGACAUUAGAGUCCUGUGUUACUGUGUUGGAGUUGAUCUCACUUAGGUCUAGAAUACCUAGAGGACGUGUUUUGCAUAUUAGGAUGCUCAGAUGAUAUUGAAUUGUUUUCUGAGUUGACUCUUUAGCACUGCAUAGUGCUCCUGCCUCUCUUUACUGCUUUUGACUUAAAGUCCCUUUCAUCUGACAGAAGUAUGGCUACUGUUUUCUGUUACUUCUCUUUGCCUAGAGUAUCUUAUUCCAUUGCUUCACCUUGCAUUUUGUCCUUAGAGGUAAAAUGAAUUUCUUAGAAGCAGCUCUUAGGAUCUAAUUGGGGUGGUCCACACCUUCAGUCCCAGCAGUGAAGAGUCUGAGCCAGAAUUGUCAUUUAGGUGAGCUUGGACCACCAAGUGAGGCUGUCUCAAACAAACCAAAAAGAAGUAGUAGCAGCUGUAUGUGUUUGGAUUUUGUAAUUCACUCAGUUACUCUUCUUGUUUGUUUGAAGAGGGACUGUCCUGGAACUAUGUAGGCCAAACUGGCCUUGAACUCAGAUCCACUCGCCUUUGCUGAGAUUAAAGGCCUGCUCCACCAUGCCGAGCUCAGUCACUUUUUUUAACUAGAGAAUUUAGUGUGUUGUCAUUUAAGAUGUUUGUUUAAUUUUACAGUGUCUCACUUUGUAGUUCUGACUGGCUUCAAACUCUGUAGACCUUGAAAAAUGGUGCAUUCACCAAGUGAUAUUUGGCUGUGACUGUGUUAGGCUUUGGGAGUCCCGUGGAUAUAGGAUAUAAGAUGAAUUCUGCCUUUAUAGAGUUCAUUGUUUAGCAUAUGAGACAGACACUAAAUGAAUAUAUAGUAGUGAUAACUGUAUGAAAACAGGAAAACGUGUGGUUCUUUGAGAAUUUAGUAUUUUGAAAUGUUUUAUAUGAACUUGUAAAUUGAAGUUAAUAAUGAAAAGAUGAAUGUGGUGUGGGUGGUACCCACCAGCAGGAGCAGUUAAUACCAACUUUAGCACAAUUAAACACAUCCAUGUGUUUUUGUUUCUAGCUCUUUUGCAUUUAUUUUGUUAUAGCAUUCUGUUAUACCGUUAAAAACUUAAGGUACAUUAGAACCUGCUAGUUUAAAGCAGCACAACUCUCAGGUUAUAUAUGUGUGUGUGUGUGUGUAUAUAUAUAUAUAUAUAUAUAUAUAUACUAAAUAAAAGUGUAUAUUCUUAUGCACUGUGGAGUUAGAGCUAACUGCCCCUUUUCCUGCUCACAAUAAUAUUCACUGCAACUGUCUUUGGAAAUCAUAGGGAUCAAAACUCUGUUCAGAAUUUGCUCCAGACUUUGAGUUGGCAGAGUCAGGUCAGGUGGCAGUAUCAGCUAAAGUCAGAUAAGAAAAAUUCCUCUUACCUUUCCCUUGAGAAACCUGUAUUUAGAAAAGCAGGAGAAGAUUGGUCAGGUGAAGGGGAAGUGUGUAAGGUGCUUGGGAUGUAGCAGCCAGCCCUCCCCAACUCCCCAGGAACGCAUUGUGGCUAGGAAAAGCUGAGAGUGUGAUAGCAUUACUGAUUAUUGAUUAUCAUAAAUGACAUUGAUUAUCAUAAAUGCAAAUGGACUAAAUUUCCCUAGUUGAAACAGGAGUGCCACUGAUGUGGCUGUAAGCAGAAGAGUAGGUGGGGGACUAGGAUCCAUCAUUCUGAUGUUGGAGAUGUGGAAAACACCAGGUUCCAAAUAAACUGCCAGGUUUUACACUAAAAAUUAAGAAAAGUCUUAGAUAAUGGAAGAAAAUGCUUGAGUGAUCAACGCAUCCUGAGGGAUGUUUAUCUAUAAGCAUGGUUUACCUUGCUUCUAUUCUGUCUUUUUAAGUGUUUUCUCAGCAUAUCUUUUUAUACUUGUAUAUUCUGAUUAUUGGUUUUAACCUGAAGUUUUGAUAAUUGGCCGUGACUGAAAGAGACAGCAUGCCCUGAAAAGUCAGCAGACAACUAGCCAGUGAGUUGCACAUGAGUAGCACGUAAGAUCCACUUGUUCCACAGAGGGAAUUAAGUCUGCUCUCUUUUCUUUUCUAGAAAUAUUAAAAGUCUUUCGGAUAUCCAGAUAGUACAGGUUGCGUGUGGUUACUAUCAUUCGCUUGCACUUUCUAAAGGUAAGCACUUGUCCCUUUCUAACUAAUUACUUCUUGGUACUCUGAACAAAAGGCCGCUGGGUUUUCUUUUACAAGAUUUGUCCUGAUUUCAUUUCCAUGUAUUUUAAAUCAGCUGUUAGUUUCUAUGUUUACAAAGCUGCUGAAAUAUUUGUUGAGCUUAUGGUGUCUAUAAAUCAGUAUUAGGGUAAUCUUUACAGUGUUAAGUUUUCCAACACAUGAACAUGAUACUUCUGCAUGUACUCUGUUUCUCUUACUAGGCUUUUUUCCUUUGUUUAUUCAAGACCGGGUCUUAUAUAUCAAUACGGCUAUCCUUGAACCCACUAUGUAGACCAUGCUGGACUUGAAUUCACAAAGAUCUUCCUGCCUCUGCCUCCCAAGUGCUGGGACUAAAGAAGCACACCAUUACACCUGGCAUUAGUGUUUUCUUUUAUCUGCAAAUACCUUAUAUGCCUUUAUUAUAUUUUUUACUAGGUAUUUAACUUUUUUGUGCAUUAUGUAAUUUUUUUAACCAUAUAGGCUUGAAAUUGGGUUAUUACUUAAUUACUAAAUAUUUAGAAGCAAUAACUUAUUCAUAUGCCAGUUGAACAUUAGAGAAUGAAUUAGAGAAUCUUCCAUGGUUUUUGCCUUAUCAUUUAAAACUUGGGGGCUGGAGAGAUGGCUCAAUGGUUAAGAGUAGCAACUGUUCUUCCAGAGGUCCUGAGUUCAAUUCCCAGCAACCACAAGGUGGCUCACAAUCAUCUGUAAUGGGAUUUGACGCCCUCUUCUGGUAUGUUUGAAGAUAGCUAUAGUGUACUCAGAAAUAAAAUGAUUAAAUAAAUCU
rnacentral:lncRNA from 1 species